UUAUAUUUGAGAGUUUGAUCCUGGCUCAGGAUGAACGCUGGCGGCGUGCCUAACACAUGCAAGUCGAGCGAUCUCUUCGGAGAGAGCGGCGGACGGGUGAGUAACGCGUGGGUAACCUGCCCUGUACACACGGAUAACAUACCGAAAGGUAUACUAAUACGGGAUAACAUACGAAAGUCGCAUGGCUUUUGUAUCAAAGCUCCGGCGGUACAGGAUGGACCCGCGUCUGAUUAGCUAGUUGGUAAGGUAAUGGCUUACCAAGGCAACGAUCAGUAGCCGACCUGAGAGGGUGAUCGGCCACACUGGAACUGAGACACGGUCCAGACUCCU
rnacentral:rRNA from 1 species